rnacentral:rRNA from 1 species
GUGCCAGCCGCCGCGGUAAUACGUAGGUGGCAAGCGUUGUCCGGAUCUACUGGGCGUAAAGGAUGUGUAGGCGGAUAUUUAAGUGAGAUGUGAAAUCCCCGGGCUUAACUUGGGGGCUGCAUUUCAAACUGGCUGUCUAGAGUGCAGGAGAGGAAAGCAGAAUUCCUAGUGUAGCGGUGAGAGGCGUAGAGAUUAGGAAGAAUACCAGUGGCGAAUGCGGGUUUCUGGAAUGUAACUGACGCUGAGGCAUGAAAGCGAGGGGAGCAAACAGGAUUAGAUACCCUGG